rnacentral:rRNA from 1 species
AACGCGAAGAACCUUACCCAGGCUUGACAUCCGUGGUAAGUCCGUGAAAGCGGUACCCCUCUCCCGAAAGGGAGAGCUACGAGACAGGUGUUGCAUGGCUGUCGUCAGCUCGUGUCGUGAGAUGUUGGGUUAAGUCCCGCAACGAGCGCAACCCUCACCCCAUGUUGCCAGCGUCAAGUCGGGCACUCUUGGGGAACUGCCCGGGUAACCGGGAGGAAGGUGGGGAUGACGUCAAGUCGGCAUGGCCCUUACGCCUGGGGCUUCACCCAUGCUACAAUGGGCGCGACAGAGGGACGCAAGACCGCGAGGUGGAGCCAAUCCCAGAAAAGCGCUCUCAGUUCGGAUUGCAGGCUGCAACUCGCCUGCAUGAAGUCGGAAUCGCUAGUAACCGCCGGUCAGCUAAACGGCGGUGAAUACGUUCCCGGGCCUUGUACACACCGAGACGUA